rnacentral:lncRNA from 1 species
UUGUGAGAUUUUAAAAAAAUGGCCAGAACUUGGCUUCCCCAUUAUAAAAAUCUUUUUACUCUUUGUUAAUUUGUUGAAAGUCAAAAGCUGGUGUGCAAAAUUACCACAAGAGCUGACUUGAACUUACCGAAAUUUCUUGGGAAACCUCUUCGAUGGAGUUAAGAGCUACACCCAUAUUUUUGGGAAAAAUUUCUAAAUUCAUUCUUUUUUGACCCAUUGCAUUGACGUAUCGUGGAGGAGCGGGUGAGCUGAUGGAAUUGUUGCUGUUUUCCUGACCUUGAAGAUCUAAAGUUAGAUGUCUGAUUAUACCAAUGGAAUUUUGCAAUGGGCCCAAAUGACUGCUUGCACUGAUUAAAUCAGUAAUCAACUCUCGUACUCGAUUUUCUAAUUUAGGAAUUUCAGAUCUUAGGGAUGACUGAGCUGCACGAAUGGCACCAUGGGUAUUCAUGUAUUGGAGAUUCUCCAAUUGCAAGUAGGUCAAAUCAGAAUAUAGUGUUUGGCUUUUCUGCUCACAAACUGGAGAAAUCACUGGUUGAUCACAUUUCUUUUCUGGAGGAUUUCUUUCAUUUUGUAAUGUAUUAGAAGUAUUAUUUAUUUGAUGAGAUAUUUUAAGACUCACGUUUUCUCCAGUUAGAUUAUUGGGAUUGCUCUCUUCUCUUUCAAUGUGGUCAAUCUGAGGAACUGAAGAAACUUCAAGUUCACUGAGUUUUGUGCCAGCAGAGUCCUGUUCAUGGUCCGAUUUGAGAGACUUAUCACUCAAAUGGUGAAACUCUUCAAGUCCACGAUUUUGUCUGGUCAAUGUCUGAGAAUUUGUCUCUACUGUUUCCACGUGACUGGUCUCUAGAACAGCAGAAACUUUGAAUUCCUCCGAUAUUUGUUCAUUUGGAGAUGAAGGACAAUUUUGAUAAGAAACUGACUCAUCCCAAGCAUCCCAGUCUGCAUUGGUGACUGCCGUUGCAUCCCACGCCGGGGAUGUAGGCCACUCAUUGGCCUUAAAUGUACCCCAAUCAGAAUAUGCAUUCUCUGUGUCAGCAUCACCUGUUAAGUAUCCUUCUUCCUCUUCACUUGAAUCGUCAUCCAUCCCGACGACACAAAGAUCACCAUUUUCAUUUUCCUCUAUGACAGUUCCAAAAGAUUCCAGGAUGGUUCUUGAAAUAAAAAUAAAAAAGACAAAAAGUUACAGACAAGCAUAUACUUUUAUAAAAAAGGAAAUAAGAGUAAAGAGGCAGAGUCUGAUGCAUUAAAAUAAGAUUCUUAAAACAUUUCUUUUCCAUUUCUAUGGCAGAAGGAUGGACUGAUACAUUACAUCAGAAAAUGAGAUUUUCUCAUGGGCCCUCAGAGAACACUUCCCAAUGGGCCUGUUGCAAACUUUUGCUAGAGCAAAAAUAAUAGUUGUUUCUAUCAGUAAAUGUCUUAAAAAUCACGAUGAGUGCAAUGGCAAAGUUUGAAAUGCACUCCUAAUUUCACAAUCUGCGUAAGAAAUUUGCGGUUUUUUGAGCUUCCCACUUCAAAAAUGAUACUACGACACAGGUGAAUAUUUCGUUAGAGGUGUCAUUCUAUCCAACCCCUGUGCACUAGGAUACUACACAAUAUUCAAAAUGGCCGACACCGAUCCGCCAAAACAAAUAUGCCUGUACGAAAUUUUAACUAUUUGUUAACAACCCAGCGUUUUUACAUUCACGAUUUCUUCGCAUUGAUAAAAAUCCGCU